rnacentral:rRNA from 1 species
GACGAACGCUGGCGGCGUGCUUAACACAUGCAAGUCGAACGCUGAAGCUCAGCUUUUGUUGGGUGGAUGAGUGGCGAACGGGUGAGUAACACGUGAGUAACCUGCCUCCUUCUUUGGGAUAACGCCCGGAAACGGGUGCUAAUACUGGAUAUUCACUGGUCUUCGCAUGGGGGUUGGUGGAAAGGGUUUUUCUGGUGGGGGAUGGGCUCGCGGCCUAUCAGCUUGUUGGUGGGGUGAUGGCCUACCAAGGCUUUGACGGGUAGCCGGCCUGAGAGGGUGACCGGUCACAUUGGGACUGAGAUACGGCCCAGACUCCUACGGGAGGCAGCAGUGGGGAAUAUUGCUCAAUGGGCGCAAGCCUGAUGCAGCGACGCCGCGUGAGGGAUGGAGGCCUUCGGGUUGUGAACCUCUUUCGCUCAUGGUCAAGCCGCAACAAUGGUUGUGGUGAGGGUAGUGGGUAAAGAAGCGCCGGCUAACUACGUG